GAGAGGGAGAGGAGAGGUUGAUGUUGUGUGUGUGAGUGUGUUUCUGUGUUAUGCGUGUGUGUGUGUGAGAGCCGAGGAUGGCGCGGCUUCUCGCCGCUGCUCCUCCGGCGAGCGUCCGCGGCGGACAAGAUCGUCCGAGAGAGAGAGAGAGAGAAUAGAGAGGGAGAGAGUGAAUUGGGAUGGGGGCGCAGCGUGAAGAUUAGGAAGGUGGAGAAAUGGGAUGUUGGGCUUUAGGUUUGGGUUAGGGGUUGGGCCGAUUUAUUUUGAGUGUUGGGCCAAGUGUUGGGCCGAAUUUUGUUUUAUUUUAUUUAUCAGUUGGGCCGGUUUUUAUUAAAUCUGUUGGGCCUUUAUUAAUCUAUUUAAUUGGGCUGUGCAGUUUUCUUUAUUUAAAAUGGACUACACUAUUUAAUUAAUUAGACUUAUUAAGUUUGAUUAAUUAUUUUAAUUUGCAUAAUAAUAUUAU
rnacentral:lncRNA from 1 species